AUCAUUUUAGCCUUUUGGAUAGAAUCAAGUGUACUAUCUCUUCUUCCCAGAUUAAUACCAGACACCUCCUCAAUAUGGAAAAAAUAUAUUAAAUGGAUUUGAGAAAUUACUAUACGAAAGGGAGAUCAUAUCAUGCAGUCCACAUGUCAACCUGAUAUUGCAUUACUACCUGAAAUAAUUCUG